AGCGAACGCUGGCGGCAGGCUUAACACAUGCAAGUCGAGCGGGCAUCUUCGGAUGUCAGCGGCAGACGGGUGAGUAACACGUGGGAACGUACGCUUCGGUUCGGAACAACUCUGGGAAACUGGAGCGAAUACCGGAUACGCACUUAUGGGGAAAGGUUUACUGCCGAAGGAUCGGCCCGCGUCUGAUGAGCAAGUUGGUGGGGUAACGGCCUACCAAGUCGACGAUCAGUAGCUGGUCUGAGAGGAUGAUCAGCCACACUGGGACGGAGCCACGGCUCAAACGCGUGCGGGCGGCAGCAGUGGGGACUAUAGGACCACGGGCGCGAGCCUGCGCCGGCCAUGGCGCGUGGGUGAUCAAGGCCUUAGGGUCGUCAAGCUCUUUUGUCCGGGACGAUAAUGACGGUACCGGAAGAAUAAGCCCCGGCUAACUUCGUG
rnacentral:rRNA from 1 species